rnacentral:lncRNA from 1 species
CUCUUUCCUAGAAACUGAAUCCUGAACUUUCUUUGGACACCAGGUAGUUUGAGUGGCUCACGGCAUCGUGCACUCUGUUCUCUUGGACCCCUGCGGUUGCCUCAGCCAUGGAUUUGCAAGGAUCUCCAUAAAGAGGACUCAAGAACAGAUCAUCUGUAGAAGAUGAAGCAAGUGCUGGGCAGGAUAGAAUUGGAAACAGUUCAGGGU